UACGUAGGGUGCAAGCGUUGUCCGGAAUUAUUGGGCGUAAAGAGCUCGUAGGCGGUUUGUUGCGUCGGCUGUGAAAUCCCGAGGCUCAACCUCGGGUCUGCAGUCGAUACGAGCAAACUAGAGUGUUGCAGGGGAGACUGGAAUUCCUGGUGUAGCGGUGAAAUGCGCAGAUAUCAGGAGGAACACCGGUGGCGAAGGCGGCUCUCUGGGCCUGUUCUGACGCUCAGGCGCGAAAGCUAGGGGAGCGAACAGG
rnacentral:rRNA from 1 species